AAAAACGAAAAACAAGUGGCUUUUGGUUUAGAGUCGGUGUUACAUACUGUGUUUGUUUCUUUUUAUUUGCUCGGUUUUCUUUUCUUCUUAUUUUUUUCUUCAUCGAAUGCCCUUUUUCGUGCUUCUUUUUGAAUCUUCGAGUUAUAAUUUUUUUCUCUUUUUAUUUUUUUCUUUCUUUCUCUCGAUUCAUCAUUUUUUCUUUUUGGUCUCGCACUUUCUUGGGCUUUGGGAGCUUUUGGGGUUUUUA
rnacentral:lncRNA from 1 species